AGGUCUUAAAAUCAGGUAAAUAAAACAUCAGAUAAACAAGACAUAUUAUACCGUGUCAUGAUUUAUUUAACACAAAUAAAGCCAGAAUGGAGAAGCCAUGUGUGAGAAACUAAUUCCGCUUUAUGAUUCAAUAUGUUCUAGAACCACCUUUAGCAGUGAUGACUUGUGGUAAUCGAUUUCUGUGUGACUUUAUUAGUCUGUCAUAUAAUUGUGGAGG